rnacentral:rRNA from 1 species
UUCAGCGGCGGACGGGUGAGUAAUGCCUAGGAAUCUGCCUGGUAGUGGGGGAUAACGUUUCGAAAGGAACGCUAAUACCGCAUACGUCCUACGGGAGAAAGUGGGGGAUCUUCGGACCUCACGCUAUCAGAUGAGCCUAGGUCGGAUUAGCUAGUUGGUGGGGUAAUGGCCCACCAAGGCGACGAUCCGUAACUGGUCUGAGAGGAUGAUCAGUCACACUGGAACUGAGACACGGUCCAGACUCAUACGGGAGGCAGCAGUGGGGAAUAUUGGACAAUGGGCGAAAGCCUGAUCCAGCCAUGCCGCGUGUGUGAAGAAGUUCUUCGGAUUGUAAAGCACUUUAAGUUGGGAGGAAGGGCA